rnacentral:tRNA from 1 species
AGCKUUGGGAGUUGAUGAUAGAGGUUUGAGCCCUCUUUUUCUGA